CAAGUUCAGGAUGCCAAGUGUUGACAGUGGGAGCAGAUCCUUUUGUGAAGGACUGGAGGCUGGUUUCUGACAGAGGGCACUGAACCUUCCAGAUAAGGAUCUUCAGAAUUACCUGAGUUUGUAUCUGCAGCAAGCUCACAGUGACUCCUCGGGGAAGCUCAUUGAAUGGUUUGAUGUUGACCUCCAAGCUAUUGCUCUCACUUUCAAAAUUUUGUGUGCUAAAGAUGCAUCUGCGUGAGAGGGAGGACUCUGGUGACAGGGGAGGAAAAACAGAACAGACUUGUAUGGACAUCUGGCAGCAGCUGUGGUCAGAGAGCACGCAGAGGCCCUUGCUGGGAGCUGUUGGCUCUGUCCCUUCCAUCCCAGAGCCUGAGUCUGCAAAAACCAUUCAGAAGACCUGCAUGAUCAGUGACUGCACUGACAACUCUCUCCAGGGGAUAUUUUCUCUCUCCAUGGUUCUCCACACCUCUGACUUUACUGUGAAUGUCACUGAACUUCUCAAGGCUCUCGCCUAA
rnacentral:lncRNA from 1 species